UUCACCUUGUGCUAAUGGAAGUACAUGUACACCGACCGGAAGUACUUUUGUUUGUUCCUGUCAACCUGGAUACUUUGGAAACAAAUGUCAAGGGACACCAUGCCACAGUUCGCCUUGUUCAAAUAGGGGAGCAUGCAAUCCUUCUGGUAGCAGUUUUGUUUGUUCCUGUCCAACUGGAUACAGUGGAAAACAAUGUCAAAUCACACCAUGCCACUGUUCACCUUGUUCGAAUG